ensembl:lncRNA
AGAAUCAGAAUUAGCUUUAUUGCCAGCAGGGACGUCGUUAGGCCUAUUUUAGGGGGGCUGAAGCUACCCCAAAAUGUUGCUAAGCCCCCCUAAAUGAUAAUAAGAACAACAAUAACAAUUCGAUUUAUCAACAACCAUAUCCCCAUUCAUAUUUAGACGCAACAAAUGAUAUAUAUCCAGCUACAAAUAGCCGAGAAGUCGUAAGUUGGACAGAAGUACAAAGAGUCGUUGUGCUAUCAAGAUGAUGCACCGCACCGUCUCGUUGCAUUGGUGUGAACUGGCAGCUUUCAGAGCGUUGUAGACCGGAGCGCUGCAAGUAACUGGAGGAUUCAUCUCGUCUCGUCAUUACUCUAGUUUGGUCUGAACUCGCUAUGCAUCCUCCCACCCACACACACCGAUACACACGCUAAUGGUGAAAGGAAGAUUGAUGAGAUGGAUAUUCGAAGAUAUUUUAGCAGAGAGAAAGAGAAGCAGCCGCAGGAGAUUGGCAGCCCAGUUGAUUCUGAGGGAGCCGGUGUGAUUGAGUUAUUGUCAAGUGUUCAUGAGAUGGAUUGGCUGAGAGAAGAAACUGUUCCUGUGUCUGGUCGUUCUGGUGCUCAGAGCUCUGUAGCGUCGACCAGAUGGCAACAGUUCAAAGAGGAAGUGUGCUGGAUGUGAGGGGUCCAGAGUGAUUUUGCCAGCCCUUUUGCUCACUCUGGAUGAGUACAGUUCAGAGUACAUCGGAGGAAAAACAUACAACAUCAUCAAAUCCAUGUACACUAGUAACAAAUUUGCUGUUAAAAUUGGCAACAAACACACAAAAUGUCUAAAUGUCUUCUGUUUGCAGAUGAUCUAGUGCUGCUGUCACCCACAAAAGAGGGUCUACAGCAGCACCUGGACCUCCUGCACUGAGAGAGAGAGACUCAGUGAAAUAUACAGUGCAUCAAUAUGUAAUCUGUGUACUGUAUUUAUUCACCUCAUUUACUCACAGAGAUUCUAACUCUGCAGCAGUUGUGCACAUAUAAGGACUGUAAACAGUGACCCCCGCACUUUGGACCCCCGCAGUGCACUUUAUAGAGAGUAUUUCAUAGCUAACUAACUAACUUCCUCCUCCGUUAAAUCACUGCAAUCCAAGUUUGAGUUCAACAACAGAGUCAGAUAUAAACACUAAAACAAACGAAAAUCAGUCAGAAUCAAACAUGCUCCUGAUUAUCCUCCAGGUUUAUUUUGACUUUAACUUAUGUUUAUGACCCUCAAUAAUACACAGACAUCAUCAGCCGUG